GGUGUCAUGGUGAGUCAAGUAAAAUUUUGGCUUAUGGUUACAAAUUAUGCGUUUACUGUAUUCAUCUUCGUGCAUGCACACAAUGUUUUAAAAAGCAUCUGUUGAGUGUCUACGGCACAACACACACGUUCUGGUGCUGGAGAUCCUGCCCUGGCUGAGCUUCUGGACCUGGUGGGGAGAAAUCCACAAUGAGUACUGAGACGACCGGCAAAAGCCCGGUGAAGGCACCUAGGAGGAGGGCCUGCUUACCCUGGAGGAGUCGGGAGCAGCUUCCAGAGCGAGGAGCCUUCUAAGGUACCCACAAGCACAAGAGACAGUAAAUGGAAAGUGCUUGGGAGCCCCGUGCCCAGGUGGUGCUGGCCCCAGCUGGACUGCGGGGAUAGAUGUUGAGUGUCCAGGUUCUAGCAUUAUGGAACAGAAUCCGGCCUGUUGGGAAAUCCUGCCUACAAGCAUACCUCCAUUAAUUAGUGUCUUCCGUGAACAUUUUUAUUAAAAAAAGAAGAAAAGCUUCUC
rnacentral:lncRNA from 1 species